UGGGGAAUCUUGCACAAUGGGGGAAACCCUGAUGCAGCGACGCCGCGUGAGCGAUGAAGGCUUUCGAGUCGUAAAGCUCUGUCCUAUGGGAAGAUAAUGACGGUACCAUAGAAGAAAGCCCCGGCUAAUUACGUGCCAGCAGCCGCGGUAAUACGUAAGGGGCGAGCGUUGUCCGGAAUUAUUGGGCGUAAAGAGUGCGUAGGCGGCAAAUUAAGUCAGAUGUGAAAACUAAGGGCUCAACCCAUAGAUUGCAUCUGAAACUGAUAUGCUUGAGUCAAGGAGAGGAAAGUGGAAUUCCUAGUGUAGCGGUGGAAUGCGUAGAUAUUAGGAGGAAUACCAGUAGCGAAGGCGACUUUCUGGACACAAACUGACGCUGAGGUACGAAAGCGUGGGGAGCAAACAGG
rnacentral:rRNA from 1 species